GUCUGUGAGUUCCAAGAAAAUGUCCUCCUCUUCCAAUUGCCUGCAUCAAUGGAGGUAUGUAUAAAAGAAUGUGUUAUUUCAAAUAAUCAUUUAGAGUCUGUAUUUUGGUGUGUCUGACAACAUGCCUAGGGCAAAGGGCCACCCCCUGAGAUCGACCCCAAUCACUCCCUGGGGUUCAUCUAGAGAAGGGCAGGAGACAGGAGACAGAUGGUGAUUCCUUAGAGAAGUAAUGCAGGGGUGUGUAUCUGAUUUGCUAUUGGAACUAGAAUUACAGCUGCGUCCAUGUACUUACUCCAAAAGCCAAAGUGUUUACCUCUUCCCCACAAAUACGAGGUACAUUGUCAUCAGUUCCUUUUAAUGUUUACAAUCAAGACUCAACGUGAUUAACUCAGAUCCAGAUUCUUCCCUAUUAACAUUACUAACUUGUACUCUAAAGUAUUUUUGUGGCCUAGAAUUAAAUAAAUCAGUCGAUUGGCAGUUUCAAAAGCAAGAAAAGAGGCUCUAAAUAAUGAAAUUAAUGAAUUUCUGAUCUGUAUAAAGACGUGCUUUGAAUUCCAUUUUCUGCAUAAACUUUGUCUUUCAGUUUUAUCAGCUUUCCUUUUUCUGUGUGUUAUAACUAGGGUUCAGGCUUUUGAUGAGAAGCGGAUUAAGUCUAAUGUUAGCCAUUUUAUCUUGCGGUUCCUUACUGACCUGGCGUGAUUUGAGGGGGUAUAUUUUCUUUUGGAGGGAGUGGAUGGGUGGUUGACAUUAAUGCUAUUGAACAUAUUUAGAUAAAAUAAACAUGAAGAUUUUCUUGAGGUGAGUUGUGAGACAUCUGAUUAUUCAUCAGCCUGGGCUGAUCUUUUUUUUUUUUUUUUUUGCAGUACGCGGGCCUCUCACUGUUGUGGCCUCUCCCGUUGCAGAGCACAGGCUCAGGACGCGCAGGCUCAGCGGCCAUGGCUCAUGGGCCCAGCCGCUCCGCGGCAUGUGGGAUCUUCCCGGACCGGGGCACGAACCCGUGCCCCCUGCAUCGGCAGGCGGACUCUCAACCACUGCGCCACCAGGGAAGCCCUGGACUGAUUUUUUUGAAGUCAAGCCAGUUUGUUUCACUAAAAGCAAACAAGUCCAGAAAUCCACACACUGCCCUGCAUGGUGUGUCCCAAAUUCCAGCCUGGCCCUUGGACUUUGGCACCACAAGGGACAUGGCCCAUGUGUAGUUGAACACACUGAAGAAGGCAAGUCUAUUAGGUUACCAUUCUCAUUAUGA
rnacentral:lncRNA from 1 species